rnacentral:misc_RNA from 1 species
GAAAUGCGAUAAGUAAUGUGAAUUGCAGAAUUCAGUGAAUCAUCGAAUCUUUGAACGCACAUUGCGCCCGCCAGAGUGCUGGCGGGCAUGCCUGUCCGAGCGUCAUUUCUACCCUCGGGCCCCCCAGGGGGCCCGGUGCUGGGGGCACGGCCCAGGCCGCCCCCGAAAUGCAGUGGCGACCCCGCCGCGUCCUCCCCUGCGCAGUAGCACAAUCUCGCACCGGAAGCGCGGAGGCGGUCACGCCCGUAAAACGCCCCAACUCAACGCAGUUGACCUCGGAUCAGGUAGGAGUACCCGCUGAACUUAA